CAGGAGGAAAAAAAAAAUGUUUUGUAUAAAUUUUUGAGCUUCAUUUGGUUCGGAUAUAAGCAAAAACUAGCUAUUACAGGGAUAGAUACAAAUAUGGGGAUAAGAAAAAUAGCGUUUGGAUGAAAAUUGAGUUGUUUUCGGGGAUAAGAAAAAUAACGUUUGGAUAGAUAAUAGUGGAUAGUUAUAUAUAGAAAAUGGAGGUGUUGGUGGGAAUAGUUAUACCAACUUAUUUCAGGUACCGAAAAAUUACUAUUCUCGGAUAAAAAAUUUGCGUUUGGGUGUAAAGGGGGAUAAGAGGUUAUCCCUCCCCUUAUUACUAAUCCAAACGCUACGGAAAAAGGUCUAAAUUGG
rnacentral:lncRNA from 1 species